AGAAUGAUGACAUGAGUAGCGACAAACAGUGUGAGAGACACUGUCGCCGAAAGUCCAAGGGUUCCUGCUUAAAGCUAAUCUGAGCAGGGUAAGCCGACCCCUAAGGCGAGGCCGAAAGGCGUAGUCGAUGGGAAUCAGGUUAAUAUUCCUGAGCCAGAUGGAAGUGACGAAUUGCGAAGGUUGUUCAUCCUUAUCGGAUUGGAUGGGCCGCUCAGCAGUUCCUGGAAAUAGCUCCAUCAUGAGAUCGUACCCUAAACCGACACAGGUGGACUGGUAGAGAAUACCAAGGCGCUUGAGAGAACGAUGUUGAAGGAACUCGGCAAAAUACCUCCGUAAGUUCGCGAGAAGGAGGCCCAGUUUCUACGCAAGUAUUGGCUGGGGGCACAAACCAGGGGGUGGCGACUGUUUAUUAAAAACACAGG
rnacentral:rRNA from 1 species